rnacentral:rRNA from 1 species
GACGAACGCUGGCGGCGUGCUUAACACAUGCAAGUCGAACGGUGAAGCGCCUUCCUUUUUGGUGGGUGUGGAUGAGUGGCGAACGGGUGAGUAACACGUGAGUAACCUGCCCCCUUCUUCUGGAUAACCGCAUGAAAGUGUGGCUAAUACGGGAUAUUCUGGGUCUGUCGCAUGAUGGGUCUGGGAAAGAUAUUGUUUCGGUGGGGGAUGGGCUCGCGGCCUAUCAGCUUGUUGGUGGGGUGAUGGCCUACCAAGGCGGUGACGGGUAGCCGGCCUGAGAGGGUGGACGGUCACACUGGGACUGAGACACGGCCCAGACUCCUACGGGAGGCAGCAGUGGGGAAUAUUGCACAAUGGGCGCAAGCCUGAUGCAGCGACGCCGCGUGAGGGAUGGAGGCCUUCGGGUUGGGAACCUCUUUCGCCAGUGAAGCAGGCCUGCCUCGUUUGUGGGUGGGUGGACGGUAGCUGGAUAAGAAGCGCCGGCUAACUACGU